rnacentral:rRNA from 1 species
GACAGAGGGGGCAAGCGUUGCUCGGAAUUACUGGGCGUAAAGGGCGCGUAGGCGGGAUGGCAAGUCGGUCGUGAAAUCCUUCGGCUCAACCGAAGAACGUCGAUCGAUACUGCUGUUCUAGAGGGCUGCAGAGGAGACUGGAAUUCCCGGUGUAGCGGUGAAAUGUGUAGAGAUCGGGAGGAACACCGGUGGCGAAGGCGGUCUGCUGGGCCGUUGCUGACGCUGAGGCGCGACAGCGUGGGGAGCAAACAGG